GAUGAACGCUGGCGGCGUGCUUAACACAUGCAAGUCGAACGGUGAAGCAGAGCUUGCUCUGUGGAUCAGUGGCGAACGGGUGAGUAACACGUGAGCAACCUGCCCCUGACUCUGGGAUAAGCGCUGGAAACGGCGUCUAAUACUGGAUAUGAGCUGCGACCGCAUGGUCAGCAGUUGGAAAGAUUUUUCGGUCUGGGAUGGGCUCACGGCCUAUCAGCUUGUUGGUGAGGUAAUGGCUCACCAAGGCGUCGACGGGUAGCCGGCCUGAGAGGGUGACCGGCCACACCGGGACUGAGACACGGCCCAGACUCCUACGGGAGGCAGCAGUGGGGAAUAUUGCACAAUGGGCGAAAGCCUGAUGCAGCAACGCCGCGUGAGGGAUGACGGCCUUCGGGUUGUAAACCUCUUUUAGCAGGGAAGAAGCGAAAGUGACGGUACCUGCAGAAAAAGCGCCGGCUAACUACGUG
rnacentral:rRNA from 1 species